GUUUGGAAGUUAAGAAACCUGCCUUUCAGGCAGUUGUCGUUUGGCCCUGCCUUAUAUAAAUCUUAGCAUUUUCUACUGCCAGGAAGAAAAGGAAUCAAUUCUAAUCAGCUCAGUCUCCUCAUUUCUCGCAUGCUCUUUGCCCUCUCUAAUUUUUUUUUUUCUUUUUCUACCAUUCUUUGGGUGAAUGGUUCUUUACCCUAACCACACGAGUUUUAUCUGUGGAACUUUAAGGGGGAAAAGAAAAAAGAGAGAUUGUAGGUAAUAGAGUACUUAAUUUCUUGGACUGUAAAGAAUUGCUGAACUAGGAUUAAUUUUUCUCUCUUAUCCUAUUCUGAAGAAAGCUUAAAUCUUAUCUCCAGCACUAAUUUGAAUACCUGUAAUGACUAAGACACCAAGAUAAGUGAUGAGGGAAUAAAAGAUGAAUAAAACUUAUUUCUGAUUUCAAAGUAGCUAAUAGACAUGAAAAACAGAAUCAAUUUUAGAAUAUUAAAUUCUGAUUAUAAAGCAGUUCUGCCCUGGGUGGUCAGUGAACUCAUCAGAGAGGGAGUUUGUCAUUUUCUGAGAUGAAGAGACUGUAAGAAAAACAGAUUUUGAAACAGGACUUGGUGGAUAAAUAUCAAGUUAACUUUUGAACAUGGUGUGGAAUAUCAAACAAAUGAUUAAGUUGACACAGGAGCAUAUAGAGGCCCUAUUGGACAAAUUUGGUGGGGAGCAUAAUCCACCAUCAAUAUAUCUGGAGGCCUAUGAAGAAUACACCAGCAAGCUAGAUGCCCUCCAACAAAGAGAACAACAGUUAUUGGAAUCCCUGGGGAAUGGAACUGAUUUUUCUGUUUCUAGCUCUGCAUCAACGGACACCGUUACAUCUUCUUCCUCUUCUAGCCUUUCAGUGCUGCCUUCAUCUCUUUCAGUUUUUCAAAAUCCCACAGAUGUGUCACGGAGCAACCCCAAGUCACCACAAAAACCUAUCGUUAGAGUCUUCCUGCCCAAUAAACAGAGGACAGUGGUACCUGCACGGUGUGGAGUCACAGUCCGGGACAGCCUGAAGAAGGCGCUGAUGAUGAGAGGUCUAAUCCCAGAGUGCUGUGCUGUUUACAGAAUUCAGGAUGGGGAGAAGAAACCAAUUGGCUGGGACACUGAUAUUUCCUGGCUUACUGGAGAGGAAUUGCAUGUAGAAGUGUUGGAGAAUGUUCCACUUACAACACACAACUUUGUACGGAAAACUUUUUUCACCUUAGCAUUUUGUGACUUCUGUCGAAAGCUGCUUUUCCAGGGGUUCCGCUGUCAAACAUGUGGUUAUAAAUUUCACCAGCGUUGUAGUACAGAGGUUCCACUGAUGUGUGUUAAUUAUGACCAACUAGAUUUGCUGUUUGUCUCCAAGUUCUUUGAACACCACCCAAUACCACAGGAGGAGGCCUCCUUAGCAGAGACUACCCUUCCAUGUGGCUCAUCCCCUUCUGCACCCCCCUCCGAUUCUAUUGGGCCCCCAGUUCUCACCAGUCCGUCUCCUUCAAAAUCCAUUCCAAUUCCACAGCCUUUCCGACCAGCAGAUGAAGAUCAUCGAAAUCAGUUUGGACAACGAGACCGGUCCUCAUCAGCUCCAAAUGUACAUAUAAACACAAUAGAACCCGUCAAUAUUGAUGACUUGAUUAGAGACCAAGGGUUUCGUAGUGAUGGAGGAUCAACCACAGGCUUAUCUGCCACACCCCCUGCCUCAUUACCUGGCUCACUCUCUAAUGUGAAAGCAUUGCAGAAAUCUCCAGGACCUCAGCGAGAAAGAAAGUCCUCUUCAUCGUCAGAAGACAGGAAUCGAAUGAAAACACUUGGUAGACGGGAUUCAAGUGACGAUUGGGAGAUUCCUGAUGGACAGAUCACAGUGGGACAAAGAAUUGGAUCUGGGUCAUUUGGGACAGUCUACAAGGGAAAGUGGCAUGGUGAUGUGGCAGUGAAAAUGUUGAAUGUGACAGCACCCACACCUCAGCAGUUACAGGCCUUCAAAAAUGAAGUAGGAGUACUCAGGAAAACUCGACAUGUGAAUAUCCUCCUCUUCAUGGGUUAUUCAACAAAGCCACAACUGGCUAUUGUUACCCAGUGGUGUGAGGGCUCCAGUUUAUAUCAUCAUCUCCACAUCAUUGAGACCAAAUUCGAGAUGAUCAAACUUAUAGAUAUUGCACGGCAAACUGCACAGGGCAUGGAUUACUUACACGCCAAGUCAAUCAUCCACAGAGACCUCAAGAGUAAUAAUAUUUUUCUUCAUGAAGACCUCACAGUAAAAAUAGGUGAUUUUGGUCUAGCCACAGUGAAAUCUCGAUGGAGUGGGUCCCAUCAGUUUGAACAGUUGUCUGGAUCCAUUUUGUGGAUGGCACCAGAAGUAAUCAGAAUGCAAGAUAAAAACCCAUAUAGCUUUCAGUCAGAUGUAUAUGCAUUUGGGAUUGUUCUGUAUGAAUUGAUGACUGGACAGUUACCUUAUUCAAAUAUCAACAACAGGGACCAGAUAAUUUUUAUGGUGGGACGAGGAUAUCUGUCUCCAGAUCUCAGUAAGGUACGGAGUAACUGUCCAAAAGCCAUGAAGAGAUUAAUGGCAGAGUGCCUAAAAAAGAAAAGAGAUGAAAGACCACUCUUUCCCCAAAUUCUCGCCUCUAUUGAGCUUCUGGCCCGCUCAUUGCCAAAAAUUCACCGCAGUGCAUCAGAACCCUCCUUAAAUCGGGCUGGCUUCCAAACAGAGGAUUUUAGUCUAUAUGCUUGUGCUUCUCCAAAAACACCCAUUCAGGCAGGGGGAUAUGAAGCAGAUUUGGCUCUUACAUCAAAUAAAAUAGAGUAGAAGUUGGAAUUUAGAGAUUUCCUGAUAUGCAAGAAAGAAUAAGCAAGAAAAAAGGAGAAUUUGCAGCCUUCAAGUAGCCACACCAUCAUGACAGCAUCUACUCUUAAUUUCUUAAGUCUUGUGUUCGUACAAUUUGUUAACAUCAAAACACAGUUCUGUUCCUCAACUCUUUUUAAAGAUAAAAGUUUUCAGUGCAUAAGCUGGUGUGGAACAGAGGAAAUUUCCCAUCCAACAAGAGAGGGAAGAAUGUUUUAGGAACCAGAACUCUCUGCUGCCAGUGUUUCUUCUUCAACACAAAUGCCACGUGUAUACAAGUCUGCCCACUCCCAGGAAGAAAGAGAGACCCUGAGUUCUGACCUUUUGAUGGUCAGGCAUGAUGGAAAGAAACCGCUGCUACAGCUUGGGAGAUUUGCUCUGGGAAGUCUGCCAGUCAACUUUGCCCUUCUAACCACCAGAUCAGUAUGUGGCUGAUCGUCUGAUGGGGCAGUCGCGAUCACCAAGCCUCGUUCUCUUUCCUGUUCUGGGAUUGUGUUGUGGAACCCUUUCCCCUGGCCGCCACCGGUUCAUUUCUGAGGGAUGGAACAAAAAUGCAGCAUGCCCUUCCUGUGUGGUGCAUGUUCAGUCCUUGACAAAUUUUUACCAAAAUGAAGCUACUUUAUUUAAAAGGAGGGUGAGAGGUGAGGAGGUUGGUUUGGGUGUGGAGGAAAGGGAAUGCUGCAUCUUUUUCCUGGGCUGCUGGGGCUCUGGCCUUGGCUUCCUUGCUCACGCGGCUCCCUGCCUGGCGGGCCGGCCAGAAGCAGCGCGCAUUGCCUUCUUUUCCCAUUGGGUCCAGCAAUGAAGACAAGUGUUUGGGAAUUUUUUUUUUUUCUCCACCUUAUAGCAAGUUCUCAGGAAAAUACAAUUGAUAUCUUCCUCCUAAGCUCUUCCAGUCAGUCACCAAGUACUUAAGUGGCUACUUUGUCCAGGGCACAAAAUGCCUGUAUCUAAUUAAAAGCCUACAAAACUGCUUGAUAACAGUUUUGAAUGUGAGACAUUUAUGUAACUUAAAUGUAAGGUACAAGUUUUAAUUUCUGAGUUUCUUCUAUUAUAUUUUUAUUAAAAAAGAAAAUAAUUUUCAGAUUGAAUUGGAAUAAAAUAAUAUUACUUCCCACUAGAAUUAUACAUCCUGGAAAAUUGUAUUUUUGUUACAUAAGCAGCUUUUAAAGAAAGAUCAUUACCCUUUUCUCUACCUAAAUAUAUGGGGAGUCUUAGCCUAAUGACAAAUACUUAUAAUUUUUAAAUUAAUGGUACUUGCUGGAUCCACACUAACAUCUUUACUAAAUAUCUCAUUGUUUCUUCCAACUUACUCCUACACUACGUCCUACAUCUUCUUCUUAGUCUUUUAUCUAGAAUAUGCAACCUGAAAUAAAAAUGGUGGUAUCUUCAUUCAUUCUCCUCCUUCCUUUUUUCCCAAGCCUGAUCUUCAAAAGGUUGGUUAAUUUGGCAGCUGAGUUCCCCAGGCAGAGAAUAGAGCAGUUUUAGGUGUAUUGGGACUGAGGGAGGAUGUGUAAAGAAUAACAUCAGUAAAGAAGUGCUGUGGAAUAUUUAAAAACCUUCUUCUUUAUCUUUAUAAAUGGAGAAUAUAACCUAAUCAUAACCUCCCUCAGCCUUUACUAAAGUGUGGCAUAAAUCACAGUAGUAGCAAAGAAAGAGACUUUGGAUGUGUUCCUGGUCAAUACCUCCCUUACCAUGAAUAUAGACUCUCUCAUCAAGAUUUAGGAAUGUAAAUCAAAUCAAAUGUACCCAGCCCAGCCAAGCUAUGUAGUAAAGGACCUGAACAAUAUUAGGCAGAACCUAUAAAAUAAAUCAGGGAAUUAGAAAUUAUUUGAAGUUUUCAAACUAAAUUGCCCUGCUGUCUUUCAGCCUAGUAAAGCUUACUGCCAUUACAUUAUUUUUGCUACAAUACUUACAUUCAGAGGAGGGCCUACUGAAAAUUCCAUGGAUUUGUAAAAGAUUGUCCCAGUAAAGUGGAAAAUAAUCCUCAAGUUAUUAAUGAGUUUGAAAAACAAUGAGUUCUUAAGUCUUUGGUGAGUAGAGCAAGAUCCUACAAACUUCAGAAAUUGUAAAAAUGGAUUCAUGCUGAUUUAAAGAGCAUCUGUGUGCAUAAUACUGCCUCUCUUUUAAAAGCAGUGUCUAUUUUUCUUUUUAAAUUUGUCCCCAUAGAUGCUUUUGAACAUGAACAUGCUCGUGUUACCUUUUCCAGGAGCUCUCAGGCAGGGCCCCCUCCCUCAGCCUGGCAGAAACUGCCCAGGAGGAGCUGGUUAUGGAGGAAGCUUAGCGCUGGCAUUUUCACAGUUCAAGGUGAUAACGCUUUCUUCUUCCCUUUCUGUUUUAGAAUAGAUUGCUGUCUGAUUUGAAAAAGGGAAAUAGAUUUGAUCUCAAACGAAUCUGUGCCCAGAAGCCAGGCUCAGGGUGUUGAGAGAUUUGUAUAGUGCCCUCAAAAAAUAACAAAAUUUUAGCUUUCCUUUUUUCUUCUUUUCUCCAUCAGAUUCUUUUUUCUCUAGUUUACAAAUGAGAUGGAAAAGGAAUUUCCCCUGAGUUUUGUAUGCCUUUUUUUUUUUUUUUUUUGAUGCUUAGACUACAGAUAGGCAUGUUGAGCUCCUAAGAAAAUACAAGGAGAAAAAAAAAAAUAUAAGGAGGAACACUUCGUUGUGCAGAGCACUUUAUGAGUAGUUUGUGUGGAUAGGAUGUGACUGCUUCCCUGACAAGCUUGUGAGGCUGUACUUAUGUCUUUCCUGUAAGGCGGCUGCAGUGCCUUCUGUAGUGUAUAUAAGGAAAGGUUAUGCCUUCUGAAAAAUCUCAGAGCAACCAUAAGAAGAUUAUUUUAAAAUAUGUAGUAUUACUGAUGGACUUUUUCAUCAUUAAAUUAGUCUAGGAUCUAAACUUUUAACACUGAAAUAAUAUUGACCAAAAAGCAAUUUAUAAAAGGGAUUUGUGAAUAGAAAAUACAAUGUGAUCAUUUGUACUUAUGUGCACCUUAAAAGAGGAUUCUGUCUAGCUGUCAAAUUCUGGUUCGUUAACAUCCAGUCCUUGAUUGUGUUUGAGAUCUGGCAGGACAUGCUGGGGCACGCUAGCAGAUAAAAUCCCAUAUGCUUUAGGAUAGAUGUUAAAUUUAUGUCAGUGUUGGCAAAGAGCAUUGUGUAGUAAUAAAGAAUUCAAGACUUCAGCACUGUCAACCUGAAACUUUGUAAAUAUUUCCUAGAUUGUCAUUUGAUGCAGUCAUGGCUGUUUAUCACACAAUGUUAUCUUUUCCUCAUCAGACAAUGUUAGAACUGCUGCAGCCCCUCCUCAGAUCUCACCUGCCCCUCCUGUACAUUCACCUUUCCAGCCCUGUGCACACCUCAUUUAGCUUUAGUUUGAAACACAUUGCAGGGUUCAGGUGACCUCUUCAAAAACUACCUCCUCAGAAUGAGGUAAUGAAUAGUUAUUUAUUUUAAGAUAUGAAAAGUCAGGAGCUCUAGAACAUGAAGAUGAUCUAAGAUUUAACUUUUAUGUAUACUUGUAUUUGAGCACUCUCCUUUUGUCCUAAAGGGCAUUAUACAUUUAAGCAGUAAUACUGAAAAAUGUAGCUCGGAGUGUCUGAAUGUUGUUGAAAGUGGUGCCAGAAUCUGUUUUAGGGGUACGUAUCAGAAUCUUAACCUUAAACCGAUUGCAUGAAAUUAAAUAGUUAAUGGUAACACUUGACUAACAGAUAUAAUCUUAAUUUUUGGUAGGCUUUUAGCAAGACAGUACAUUUUCAUAAUGAGUUAGCCACAGCUUCAUCACAUGCACAGAUUUUCCUUUUGAGAUACUGCCCAGUUAAGAGGGUAGAAUGAUGACCCAUUUCUCAAGAUUCUCUUCUUUGUCCAAACCGGCAUUGGGAGUACUAGAAUAUCAGCACUUUGAAACUAGUGAUUCCAACCAUUAGGCUAUUAAAAAGCAAAACAAACCAAACAAACAAACCAUAGCCAGACACAGAAAGUUUACUGUGAGUAUAAACAGCAAAUAGGUUACAGGUCAUACAUUGAAAUGGUGUAGGUAAGGCGCUAGAAAAAUACCUUGACAAUUUGCCAAAUGAUCUUACUGUGCCUUCAUGAUGCAAUAAAAAAAAGCUAAAAUUUUAGCAGAAAUCAGUGAUUUGUGAAGAGAGCAGCCACCCUGGUCUAACUCAGCUGUGUUGUUAAUAUUUUUUAGUGUGCAAUUUAGACUGCAAAGAUAAAUGCACUAAAGUGUUUAUAGCCAAAAUCACAUUUAAAAAAUGAGAGAAAACACAAGUAAAUUUUCAGUGAACAAAAUUAUUUUUUUAAAGCACAUAAUCCCUAGUGUAGUCAGAUAUAUUUAUCACAUAGAGCAAAUAGGUUGAAAUCACAAUUCAGUGACAUUUCUAGAGAAACUUUUUCUACUCCCAUAGGUUCUUCAAAGCAUGGAACUUUUAUAUAACAGAAAUGUGUGACGGACAUUUUAAAUCGCUGUAGUUUGGGGCUGAAGUACUGUGUGCUGGGCAGCAAUCGUAUGUAUUAACUAGUGAGAAGGGAGAAAUUAAGGUACAGGACAGAAUUUGAUUUUCUGGUUCCCAAAGUACUGCUGCCGACCUAGACACUGAGUUUCCAGAGACUGAAAUGUAAACUUGCCGCUCAGGACUUGCAGAUUCAGUGGGACUGUCCUGCUUGUGCUGUUCAGAAAUGCUCUGAGGGCCAGGCGGGGGCUUCCAGGGGCUCCUCUCUGAGAGGACCGCAGACUAGCUAACGACCUGGUGGGCAGAUGUGAACUGGACUGUGUGCUUCUUGUAUCUUGAUUCCUCGCCACCCUCGAGAAAGGCUUUGGCGAGUUCUCUAGACGUUUCCACCAAGGUGUGUCACUAACACCCAUAGGUUGUUGAGCACCCGAAGAGUGCAAUAGCAUCUCUGCAUGACUGUAUAUUGGCCCGAGGAGAAUAAAGUGGCCAAUGUACUCAUGUUCCAUGUUGCCAGCUCUGGUAAAUUGAAAAUACUGGUAAGAUUUUUGUUUUAUCAGUACACUAGAGAGUAAGCUUUGUUUUGUUGUUCUUAAUUUUCACUUCCAUUUGGAAAGACAUUUAAAUUGAGUUUCAGUCCUAAAUUUUGCCAGUCAUGGUAAUUAGCAGUUUCUAUCAGGUAUUUUUAAGGUAGAAGAGGAUAGAAACAUAAGUUCUAAAAUCUUAAGGUAACCGUGGUUUAUUUUAAAAUGCUUAGGGGUGGUUAGUCUCUACCUCAAAAAAAGUGAUUGAGUGAAUCUUUUAUUUCAGCAUUCACAAGUUUGGCUGUUGUUUUUGUAAUACUUUUUUUUUUUUUUUUAACCUUUUGAACCCCUUUACCUAAGUGUCAAUGUAGUUUUAUUAAUAAGUCAGUUUCAUUAAAAUGUUUAUUUAGCAGUUUUGACUAAUUGCAAUGAUAUAAUAUAGCCAGUUGUGCAUGAGGACACAGCCAGUGAGUAUAUCUGGGGUUUUUUUGUGAUGCUUUUUUAAGACUUCUGUAGAUUUAUGAAGUAUUCAUUGAAAACAACUAAAAUACGUUUAUUCAUGUCGGUAUGAAAAAAAAAAAAAAGCUAUGUGCAGACCAUCUGCUUCUUCUGGCAGGCUGAGCACAUUGUCCAUCACCCACAGGUGGCUGGUUCUCAUCGCAGAAUCUACGUAGGGAAUCGGGCGUGAAAUUCACUUAAGAGAGCAGAGGAAGUAUUCUGUUUACAGGAAUGGAGAUGGGAGUUAUGAGCAAGUUGCUUAGUCAGUUGGCUGUUUUGAAAAUUACUGUGUUACAUUUGUGUGUUAAGCCUUUUUAACCUACUUGUGUUUUGACAGUAUAUGUCACAUAGGAAGAAACCUCAGACUAGCAUAAGCAACAGCUCACAGACUAGGCACAAAUGUAGACAAAAUGGACCAAAAUGGGAGGGGGGAAGGUAUGGGAAUAAGUCUAGGGUAGGGAAAAAUUGAUGUGAGGGUGGGAAAUAAACUGUAAUUACCUGAAAUAAAAUGUAAGAGUGCAAUAAGUGUGCUUUUUAUUCUAAGCUGUGAACGGGUUUUUUAAAAAAAUCAUUCCUUCCUAAUGCAUUUGCCUAUGUUCCCAUAGCUGAUUAAAACCAGCUAUAUAAACAUAUGCCUUUUUAUUCAUGUUAAUUACCAACAUAAAUGGCUAACCUUUACGUCUUAUUUAUCUUCAUGUUAUGUUAGUUUACCUACAGGGGUGUGUGUGUGUGUGUGUGUGCUAUAAAUUUUCCCUUCUUCAUUUGAAAAUGCAUUUGUUGGGUCCUCUGUGUUUCCUUAGGCCAUGCCACAGGUCAUAGUCUCAGCUUGGCCUUCCUAUCACCUGAUUUGAAGGACUAUCACAGUGACGUAGCUCGUUCAUUGGUUGUACACACUCUAACCCUUUUCCUUGCUCAGCAAUUACUGUUUCUUCUAAAACAGGAGUGUACAACCAUGAGAUUGAAAUUAACUGUUUAACAUAUGUCCCUUUGAAUUCUAUUUAUUAGUUAUGAUUGGUCUUUGGUUUGGACCAAGAAAAAGGAAAUCCCACCUCCCCACCUUUUCACUUAUUCUUAUUUUGAGGACAAUUCUUCUAUAAGAGAGAGGAAAGGGAACUCCUUCAUGUUUAACUGCAGCGAGUUAAUGGCCCUGGUUUACACCAAACCUUAUGGUGAUUCAUGUUCACAUUCCUCUCCUCUCUUGCUGCCAAAGGUUUGGGUUUUGUUCAGUUCUGCUCAAGCAUUGAAAAGGUUUUCAUGGAGUCUGGAGUGUGCCCAGUGAAAAGAUGGUUUUUAAUUGUCCACAGACCUCUCUGUACCUGCUUUGCAAAAAUUACAAAGGAGUAACUAUUUUUAAAGCUUAUUUUUCAAUUCAUAAAAAAGACAUUUAUUUUCAGUCAAAUGGAUGUCUCCUUGUCCCUUAAUCCUCUAUGUUUGCUUGAAUAUUUUUUUUUUUUUUUUCAAUUUUUCCCCAUCCCCACUUCUUGAUACUUCUUGAGUUCUCUUUCCUGCUCAGGUCCUUUCAUUUGUACUUUGGAGUUUUUUCUCAUGUAAAUUUGUACAAUGGAAAAUAUUGUUCAGUUUGGAUAGAAUGCAUGGAGAAUUAAAUAAAAAAGAUAGCUGAAAUUCAGAUUGAAAUUUAUUUGUGUAAAGUUAUUUAAAAACUCUGUACUAUAUAAAAGGCAAAAAAAGUUCUAUGUACUUGAUGUGAAUAUGCGAAUACUGCUAUAAUAAAGAUUGACUGCAUGGAGAA